GUUGGAGUGGCACAGACUGGAUCUGGGAAAACAUUGUCUUAUUUGCUUCCUGCCAUUGUCCACAUCAAUCAUCAGCCAUUCCUAGAGAGGGGCGAUGGGCCUAUUUGUUUGGUGCUGGCACCAACUCGGGAACUGGCCCAACAGGUGCAGCAAGUAGCUGCUGAAUAUUGUAGAGCAUGUCGCUUGAAGUCUACUUGUAUCUAUGGUGGUGCUCCUAAGGGACCACAAAUACGUGAUUUGGAGAGAGGUAUGUAACGAAAAGGGUUUUAUUUGUCAUUGGUGCUAAAUAUCCUAGGUAUUGUAGUUACGCUUACGUGUUUAAUUAAAGGUGUGGAAAUCUGUAUUGCAACACCUGGAAGACUGAUUGACUUUUUAGAGUGUGGGAAAACCAAUCUGAGAAGAACAACCUACCUUGUCCUUGAUGAAGCAGAUAGAAUGCUUGAUAUGGGCUUUGAACCCCAAAUAAGGAAGAUUGUGGAUCAAAUAAGAGUAAGUGUCCUUUGAAAUAUGUGGUCAAACUGAAUUCUGUUUUCACUCUUAGAGUCUGAUACUAAUUUUUCCCCCCAAAAUCUAUUAGCCUGAUAGGCAAACUCUAAUGUGGAGUGCGACUUGGCCAAAAGAAGUAAGACAGCUUGCUGAAGAUUUCCUGAAAGACUAUAUUCAUAUAAACAUUGGUGCACUUGAACUGAGUGCAAACCACAACAUUCUUCA
rnacentral:sRNA from 1 species